rnacentral:rRNA from 1 species
CAGUCGCCGCGGGAAUACGUAGGUGGCAAGCGUUGUCCGGAAUUAUUGGGCGUAAAGGGCUCGCAGGCGGUUUCUUAAGUCUGAUGUGAAAGCCCCCGGCUCAACCGGGGAGGGUCAUUGGAAACUGGGAAACUUGAGUGCAGAAGAGGAGAGUGGAAUUCCACGUGUAGCGGUGAAAUGCGUAGAGAUGUGGAGGAACACCAGUGGCGGAGGCGACUCUCUGGUCUGUAACUGACGCUGAGGAGCGAAAGCGUGGGGAGCGAACAGGAUUAGAUACCCCUGUAGUCCCUGUCUCUUAUAC